CCGGGCUCACGUUGAACGCUAGCUACAGGCUUAACACAUGCAAGUCGAGGGGCUGCAUGGUCUUAGCUUGCUAAGGCCGAUGGCGACCGGCGCACGGGUGAGUAACACGUAUCCAACCUGCCGUCUACUCUUGGACAGCCUUCUGAAAGGAAGAUUAAUACAAGAUGGCAUCAUGAGUCCGCAUGUUCACAUGAUUAAAGGUAUUCCGGUAGACGAUGGGGAUGCGUUCCAUUAGAUAGUAGGCGGGGUAACGGCCCACCUAGUCUUCGAUGGAUAGGGGUUCUGAGAGGAAGGUCCCCCACAUUGGAACUGAGACACGGUCCAAACUCCUACGGGAGGCAGCAGUGAGGAAUAUUGGUCAAUGGGCGAGAGCCUGAACCAGCCAAGUAGCGUGAAGGAUGACUGCCCUAUGGGUUGUAAACUUCUUUUAUAAAGGAAUAAAGUCGGGUAUGGAUACCCGUUUGCAUGUACUUUAUGAAUAAGGAUCGGCUAACUCCGUGCCAGCAGCCGCGGUAAUACGGAGGAUCCGAGCGUUAUCCGGAUUUAUUGGGUUUAAAGGGAGCGUAGAUGGAUGUUUAAGUCAGUUGUGAAAGUUUGCGGCUCAACCGUAAAAUUGCAGUUGAUACUGGAUAUCUUGAGUGCAGUUGAGGCAGGCGGAAUUCGUGGUGUAGCGGUGAAAUGCUUAGAUAUCACGAAGAACUCCGAUUGCGAAGGCAGCCUGCUAAGCUGCAACUGACAUUGAGGCUCGAAAGUGUGGGUAUCAAACAGGAUUAGAUACCCUGGUAGUCCACACGGUAAACGAUGAAUACUCGCUGUUUGCGAUAUACUGCAAGCGGCCAAGCGAAAGCGUUAAGUAUUCCACCUGGGGAGUACGCCGGCAACGGUGAAACUCAAAGGAAUUGACGGGGGCCCGCACAAGCGGAGGAACAUGUGGUUUAAUUCGAUGAUACGCGAGGAACCUUACCCGGGCUUAAAUUGCAGAUGAAUUACGGUGAAAGCCGUAAGCCGCAAGGCAUCUGUGAAGGUGCUGCAUGGUUGUCGUCAGCUCGUGCCGUGAGGUGUCGGCUUAAGUGCCAUAACGAGCGCAACCCUUGUUGUCAGUUACUAACAGGUUCCGCUGAGGACUCUGACAAGACUGCCAUCGUAAGAUGUGAGGAAGGUGGGGAUGACGUCAAAUCAGCACGGCCCUUACGUCCGGGGCUACACACGUGUUACAAUGGGGGGUACAGAGGGCCGCUACCACGCGAGUGGAUGCCAAUCCCCAAAACCUCUCUCAGUUCGGACUGGAGUCUGCAACCCGACUCCACGAAGCUGGAUUCGCUAGUAAUCGCGCAUCAGCCACGGCGCGGUGAAUACGUUCCCGGGCCUUGUACACACCGCCC
rnacentral:rRNA from 1 species